CAGUCGCCGCGGUAAUACGAGGGGGGCAAGCGUUGUUCGGAAUUAUUGGGCGUAAAGGGUGCGUAGGCGGUUUCGUAAGUCUGAUGUGAAAUCUAUGGGCUCAACCCAUAGUCUGCAUCGGAAACUGCGAGGCUUGAGAGUGGGAGAGGUGAGUGGAAUUUCCGGUGUAGCGGUGAAAUGCGUAGAUAUCGGAAGGAACACCUGUGGCGAAAGCGGCUCACUGGACCAUUUCUGACGCUGAUGCACGAAAGCUAGGGGAGCAAACAGGAUUAGAUACCCCAGUAGUCCCUGUCUCUUAUAC
rnacentral:rRNA from 1 species